AUAGUCAGUCUGGGCUGUACGAUCGACCUGCUGUGAGCACAACUGAGAGCUGUCAAAAUUUAAAAUGUCUGACAAACCUGAUCUAGCGGAAGUAACGAAGUUUGACAAGUCUAAGUUGAAGAAAACUGAGACCCAGGAAAAGAACCCAUUACCAACUAAAGAAACAAUUGAGCAAGAGAAGGCUUCUUAGUAAGAAUGACUGCUUUAGACAAUUGUAUAAAACAU
rnacentral:lncRNA from 1 species